rnacentral:lncRNA from 12 species
AAAACGAGAAGUGGGAAAUAGGGGAAGUGGGGAGCCCCCAGCCUGCCCCAGAUCUCACGCAGUCGUGGGUCGAGGAGCGAUCGCCGCCGCAUGAGCUGCAAGGAGAGUUUGUGUGGCUUUGGGAAUGCAGAAUUUGGCUUUCCGUCCUUGGACGUGCCUGGGAAUUCCUCAAGUCACCACUGGAAUUGGAAAGUUUACUCUGAGCUAAAAGCGC